rnacentral:rRNA from 1 species
AUUGAACGCUGGCGGCAGGCCUAACACAUGCAAGUCGAACGAGUGGCGGACGGGUGAGUAAUGUCUGGGAAACUGCCUGAGUGAGGGGGAUAACUACUGGAAACGGUAGCUAAUACCGCAUACCAUACGAUGUGCCCAGAUGGGAUUGGCUUGUUGGUGGGGGAACGGCUCACAAAGGCGACCAUCCCUAGCUGGUCUGAGAGGAGGACCAGCCCCACUGGAACUGAGACACGGUCCGGACUCCUACGGGAGGCAGCAGUGGGUAAUAUUGCACAAUGGGCGCAAGCCUGAUGCAGCCAUGCCGCGUGUAUGAAGAAGGCCUUCGGGUUGUAAAGUACUUUCAGCGGGGAGGCGUUACCCGCAGAAGAAGCACCGGCUAACUCCGUGCCAGCAGCCGCGGUAAUUC